CACCGUCGAUCUCAACUUUAUGCGCAGGCAUGAAGAUGCGGUAGCGCUUUAUCAAUGGUUUGUCGCCAGUACCUCCUUUUCCACUUUCUUUAGACAGGAUAUCACAAUUCUGAGCUUAUCCGGUAAAGUAUUGCUCCAUGCGCCAACUUUCAACGAAUAGAACUGCUAAGCGCAAAUUGGUACAUCCAUUUUUUCCAUUAGGAAAAAUGAAGGUUGUAUACAAAAUAAAUUUGUUGUUUCAUGGUGUUCUCAGUAAACUAUUCGGAUUUUGCCUAAACCACAGAUAACAGGCAAUUCCCUCUAGAUUACGACGCGAAUUGCGGUCUCAUUCGAACCGAGUAAAGCAAUCCAGAAAGCAUUUCAAAAGCACUGACACGUACCGAUUAAAGUGACAUUUUCCUAAGAAGAAAAAAGUAGCUAAAUGCUGGCCCCUAAAAAUAGAACAACCCAGCUCGCCGAUAACGACCAAACUGAAAGCUCGCCUGGAUAAGUGUCAGUCUGGGUCUGGUGGAGAUUCUUCAAAUACGUGGGUGGCUGGCGCACCCCGAACAAAAACGAACUUACGUGGUUUUACUUUGGCUUCUUUUAUGUAUCGUCUUUUCAGCUGGCUUCGAUAGGGGAUAAUAAUAAGAGAGACGCCGGAAUUGGCAAUUGCUGCGAUACUCCUUCGUUGUCUAACAGUAAUAAAAUUUACGAUUGAAAGAAGUUCAUCUACUGCAAAUAAAUGUGUGUUGGCGUUGUAUUCCAGAGCAAAAGUCCAGCUCAAAACCUGUAAAAUUUCUGCUGGCAAAACAAAAAAACAAAAGGACGACUUACCUGCACUGUUGACGACGCUCUGCUUGAACCGUACCCCCGCCGGCAGCAGAUACAGGGGACCGGAAAUUUGGACACCGUGGUUCAGCACGAUGCUCACCAUUCCGACCAGUAUAAUUACCCAGCCCCAGUCGCCCUCCGGAUAGUAGUGUCUCCUGAGGGUGGACACUUUGAGGGCAGCCUGGCCGGAAAUGCAUCGAUGAUCACCACCACACGGCAGCUCGGAUGUUACGCUGUAAGGAAAGAGGACAAUAAUUAUUGCAUCAUCAUCAGCUGAAUACACAUACAAAACGUAAACAUUGGGACGGAUCGUUUGAGUCGGAGUGGAAGGAAGGGGGUGGCCUACCCUGAUGCGAAGAAGAAAAUGAAAGUUGGAAAAGCAAAUCCAGCAGAAGCUAACUUAUGCACCCAAAUGGCAGCCUGGCAUGCUAGGACCUUCACAUCGUGUUCUCCUUCUGUAAAGGCAAGACAGACUGCCAAGGUUGAGAGAGGUAUAGGUAUAUACAUUUACAAACAUGCACACUACUUGGGAGUCAUUGACUCGAAGCGAAGCAGCAACAUUUAAAAGUUGAUCCCUUUGGCUGCUUCGUCUGUUUGGGUGGGUUAAUUCAUCCUUCGAACCGCAAAUCAAGACGGAUUCUAUGAACACAAGCCAAGUGGAGAACAUAUCGUAUUAAUUCCCGUUGACUGUCUGGCGGUCGACACUGACAGUGAUACCUAUCGCUACUAACCUGGUUAGUCUAUCAACUUGCACUUGGUACUAUCUUUAACAACAGAGUCGAGUGAAUGGUUUUCUGCUGAUGCAGCACUGCUUGAAGGAGAUUGCCGUCGUUUUAAUCGGGAAUGGCAUCGUAACGACCGGGAGCCUGACAAAAGGAAGCGCCGGAGAUAAUUUCAAAAUAAUAGGUGCAGCACUAAUUGGAUUAUUUCUCAAUUGAAGAAGCUUCAAGCUACUAUAAACUAGUAACUAAGUCCGUGGACACGUUCCGGACCCCGGGUCCCCGGAGUCCACACUUCAAAACCGCACCGCAAGAAAUUCGCUCUCAAAUAGUAACGAACGCUCACGCACUCUGUUGCGAUGGUGGAGGAAUAAAAAGCAAACGUCAUUACAUCACUGUCAGUUGAUGGAUGUUUUCACGGAAGGUGGCUGGCUGACAAAGGUGGAGGCGUUGGCAACCAACGACAAAUGCUUAAAAUGUGGAGUAAUUACUUGGCAAGGUUGUUAACUGGAACGGUUUGAGCAGCAGAAUAUUCAAAUGCUAGAAAAUGAGGUACGGAACGUUGUAAAAUAACUCGGGAUAAAGUUAUUAUAUAUGUGAACAUGUGAGGCCAUAAAUCUCUAGAAAGGCGCUUAGGUGGGAAUCGAGAAGAUACUUUAGAAGAUUAUUACCUACAUUCUGUGUUUAUUGAGUUUGUAGUACAUUUAUUACCUGGCAUGGUUCCAAAGGACCAUUCACAGUGUGUGAAGCAGAUGGUUUUCCAUUAAAAUAUAUUCUCCUUUAUAUUUAAAAAAAAUUAAUUAGGAAUUAAAAAAAAUCACAGUCUACUAUCAACCAUCAAACCCACCAGUCACGAUAUACAGUGUGUUUUCUGCCUAAAGCGGCGUAAAGCGAACGACAAGAACAGUUACUUUUAUCAUGGGAUUGCGUUAUCUCCAUAAUAAACGGGGAACUUGACGCUAACAGUGCCACACUCAACAUAAUGGAGCAUGUUGUUAACGGAAUUAAAUUGUUUGUCUAGGAGAUGACUUUUGAAUCCUAUCAGUACAACAUCACGUACAUGGUGAAACUGAAUUAAGUUAUGUUACUAUGUUUUAAUUGCCGCAAGGUUCUACUGUAUCGAUUUUGUUGGCUAUUUUCGGCAAGUUUGAGACUAAGAGAAACGAAAGCAAUGAAAUUGAAAGACAAAUAGAUAUUCUAGAGCGAAUUAGUUAUAAACUUAGAACGGAAAACUAGAACUAGGCAGGCUCAUAUGGGCAUGAUCGAAAGGAAAUGUGAAGAAUUCUUUGCCUUCUGCAGAGUAGGAGUUGGGCGUUGCACCCAAGUCUACCGCAUGGUCUAUGGUAGAACAUAACUCAUCAUCAUGUUUUACCGCCGACGCCGGCGUUUCUCUUAGUCUCAAACUUGCCGAAAAUUGCCAACAAAAUCGAUAUAGAAACUGAAUUAAACCGUAGCAAGAAGCUGGGAAUGGUCCAUACUACGAUUAGUUGUUUUUUAAUACAGAGCAACGAAAAAAAAUUAUGGUCAGUUUCAAUUCCUCUCAAUAAUGAUUUCAAUGAGUGAGAGAAUCAGAAGAGAACCGUCUUAUUGCUGUCAAUUAAUU